rnacentral:rRNA from 1 species
AGAGUUUGAUCCUGGCUCAGAUUGAACGCUGGCGGCAGGCCUAACACAUGCAAGUCGAACGGUAACAGGAAGCAGCUUGCUGCUUCGCUGACGAGUGGCGGACGGGUGAGUAAUGUCUGGGAAACUGCCUGAUGGAGGGGGAUAACUACUGGAAACGGUAGCUAAUACCGCAUAACGUCGCAAGACCAAAGAGGGGGACCUUCGGGCCUCUUGCCAUCAGAUGUGCCCAGAUGGGAUUAGCUAGUAGGUGGGGUAACGGCUCACCUAGGCGACGAUCCCUAGCUGGUCUGAGAGGAUGACCAGCCACACUGGAACUGAGACACGGUCCAGACUCCUACGGGAGGCAGCAGUGGGGAAUAUUGCACAAUGGGCGCAAGCCUGAUGCAGCCAUGCCGCGUGUAUGAAGAAGGCCUUCGGGUUGUAAAGUACUUUCAGCGGGGAGGAAGGCGAUGUGGUUAAUAACCGCGUCGAUUGACGUUACCCGCAGAAGAAGCACCGGCUAACUCCGUGCCAGCAGCCGCGGUAAUACGGAGGGUGCAAGCGUUAAUCGGAAUUACUGGGCGUAAAGCGCACGCAGGCGGUCUGUCAAGUCGGAUGUGAAAUCCCCGGGCUCAACCUGGGAACUGCAUCCGAAACUGGCAGGCUUGAGUCUCGUAGAGGGGGGUAGAAUUCCAGGUGUAGCGGUGAAAUGCGUAGAGAUCUGGAGGAAUACCGGUGGCGAAGGCGGCCCCNNNNACGAAGAC